GACAGAGGGUGCAAACGUUGUUCGGAAUUACUGGGCGUAAAGCGCGUGUAGGCGGCCAUCUAAGUCGGGCGUGAAAUCCCACGGCUCAACCCGUGGAAGUGCACUCGAAACUGGAUGGCUAGAGUCCUGGAGAGGAAGGUGGAAUGCUUGGUGUAGAGGUGAAAUUCGUAGAUAUCAAGCGGAACACGGUGGCGAAGGCGGCCUCUGGGACAGUGACUGACGCUGAGACGCGAAAGCGUGGGGAAGCAAACAGGG
rnacentral:rRNA from 1 species